rnacentral:rRNA from 1 species
UACGUAGGGUGCAAGCGUUGUCCGGAAUUAUUGGGCGUAAAGAGCUCGUAGGCGGUUUGUCGCGUCGGCUGUGAAAACCUAGGGCUCAACUCUGGGCUUGCAGCCGAUACGGGCAAACUAGAGUGUGGUAGGGGAGACUGGAAUUCCCGGUGUAGUGGUGAAAUGCGUAGAGAUCGGGAGGAACACCAGUGGCGAAGGCGGCUCGCUGGGCCGGCCCUGACGCUGAGACGCGAAGGCGUGGGGAGCGAACGGG